AUUGAACGCUGGCGGCAGGCUUAACACAUGCAAGUCGAGCGGUAGCACAGGGGAGCUUGCUCCCUGGGUGACGAGCGGCGGACGGGUGAGUAAUGUCUGGGAAACUGCCUGAUGGAGGGGGAUAACUACUGGAAACGGUAGCUAAUACCGCAUAACGUCGCAAGACCAAAGAGGGGGACCUUCGGGCCUCCUGCCAUCAGAUGUGCCCAGAUGGGAUUAGCUAGUAGGUGGGGUAAUGGCUCACCUAGGCGACGAUCCCUAGCUGGUCUGAGAGGAUGACCAGCCACACUGGAACUGAGACACGGUCCAGACUCCUACGGGAGGCAGCAGUGGGGAAUAUUGCACAAUGGGCGCAAGCCUGAUGCAGCCAUGCCGCGUGUGUGAAGAAGGCCUUCGGGUUGUAAAGCACUUUCAGCGAGGAGGAAGGUGGUGAGCUUAAUACGUUCAUCAAUUGACGUUACUCGCAGAAGAAGCACCGGCUAACUCCGU
rnacentral:rRNA from 1 species